rnacentral:rRNA from 1 species
CCAAAAACAUAGCCCUUUNNANAAUAAAAGGUGUUACCUGCCCGGUGAUCUAUAGUUAAAGAAAUACAAAUACUCAAAAUUAGAUUAAAAGGACGCGGUAUCUUGACCGUGAUAAUGUAGCAUAAUCAUUCGCCAUUUAAUUGAUGGAUAGUAUGAAUGGUAUAACGAAUAUAACACUGUCUCAAUAAAAAUCUUAUGAAAUUAGAAUAAUAGUAAAGAUACUAUUUUAAACUGUAAGACGAGAAGACCCUAUAGAGCUUAACUAUAACUCUUUGAUAAUUAGUAAACUAGUUUAUUACUAAAAAGAGAUAGGUAGUUUAGUUGGGGCGACUAUUUUCUAAAAUUAACGAAAAUAAACAAGAAUUAAUUAAAAAAAUUUACUGUUUAAUUAAUAAAUUUAACAGUUAUUAUAAUAGGUAAUAAUGACCCGUUAACAAUUAAUAAUAAUGUUAACGAUCAAUAGAUAAAAGCUACCUUAGGGAUAACAGGAUAAUUUUGUUCUAGAGAUCAAAUCGAAAACAAAGUUUGUCACCUCUAUGUUGAAUUAAGAUAUCCUAAAAGUGCAGAGGCUUUUAAGGGUAGGUCUGUUCGACCUAUAAAAUCUUACAUGAUUUGAG